rnacentral:rRNA from 1 species
UACUGUAAUUUUUGUUACAACCAAACCAAGAUCUUUUUUUUCGUCAAAAGACUUGGGACGAUGACAGUGAUACCAACGUUAAAAGUAAAAACAACGUCUCGUCAAGAGAGUACCACAAAGAUAAUCGACGCUCCUUGCAACUCGAUCGAAAACAGAACUUAGAGAAUCCACAAUACAUCUCCAACCUGAAAGAUCACUCGAUUUACCGGGUAACCUUGACGAACAAACUGGAAAAUUUUACCAAACCACCACGUCUAUUCAAACCGGUGUUGGGUAGCCUAAAUCUAAAAUCCACGGCACACUUUGUUAAAGAAUCCGUCCAAUAAAAAAAAGAAUUCGUUCCGUAUAUCCAUCGUACCCCUUGUUAAAGAGCUCAUUAAAAUAAACAAACAAUAAUAUAAACCCAUGAAUAAAGGACUACAAAAAAUCCAAGAGACAUAUUGUACCAUUUCAACGACCAUACUAAAACCUCCGUUGUGACUAUAAAAAGACGGUUGAAACACCUGUCUGAUUGUUACUGUUAAAAUAGACAUUUUAUACCACUAGGGAUAUCACCAUAAAGACUUCGAAACAACACGAACGAAAGGGGGGUUGUUCGUCAUUAGGUUAGUGCCCACGUAGUCCAUGAUAUAGUACACUCUUUUAGCUUGACGAGUAAGUAUUCUGUCCUAAAGGCGAGUGUAAAUAGUACGAAGUUGUGAGUGUUUUAUUUAUGAACCCGUUAAAGAGACAAAAUAUAACGCUCGGAAUUAAACACCACGAUCAUCAUAAAAAACGCAAAUAAACUUUUGGUUGUGAUUUAGUGGUAAUACGGAAUGUCACCGAGAAAAAAUAUAACAUAAGCGACAAUUAUACCAUAGAAGAUUUGAUACAAUGUCUUAAAAGUCAACACAAAUAUGAUGUAAGAGAAUAUUUACAUGUAAUGUAAUAGAAGAUCGUUUAUAUGACUUAGUGAUAAUACGGAACAUACGUACAAAACCAUUUUUUUACUCAACUUCAGAAAUUGUUAGGAAAAGUCUGGGAGAGAGACAAUGUGUAAACGUACUUUUUUGUCUUCAUUUUCCCUUUUGAAUGAAACCCAAGUAUACCACAUCUGGUUGUUGUUUUGCUAACAAUUACUUUCCAAAUUCACGUGCAUAUGAGUUUUGCUCCAGAAAAUAGAUUAACCAACCUAUUGAAUAAAAGUACAGAUACACCUAAAGGUGUUAUUGUGAUGGAGGUUGAAAGAGUAAAGGGGUCGAGACGUAUGUUCAAGGUUUGAUCCAUACGGUUAGAACAAUAGUGAACAAGUCAGCGUAAGACCAAAUACGGAAAAGUGGACGUACAUCACUCCGUCACACACCUUAAAUCCACGAUCAAACUUGUUUAAUGUUACUACAUCAGGAUGUCUAGUCAUGUCCAGUGGCCGAAAUAUAACACCAGUCGUAGAACAUUCAUGAAACCCUUUGUUCAAGACCCCAUUCAAAUAGACGAACGAGUACGUAAAAUUAUGAAGUAACUACAGGACUAUUAAACACUUCAAGACACAUGGUACACUAUUCGACGUGUAGUCCAACGUACCGUCGAACAAACAACGAAAAUCCUACAGUACAUGGGUCCACCUAGUUUAUGUCUAUGGUUAGUAUAUAAUAAUAAAAAUGAGCACACAAAAAGAACACGGACGGUUUGUAAAGUUUUUAACUAAUAUAGUAAGUCUACAUAAGUCCGACCCAAAAACACUAGGUUUUUUUAGUACACCGUACCGAAAGAAAAAUGUAUGUUUUGAUUCACACCUCGUCACAUAUACAAGUAACGAAAGAAUAGUGUAACGUAAACAGCCUCCACGAUAUGACUAAACUUCCUUUACGAAAAUAUAAAGGUUCAACUAGUUGAUGUGUCAAAGACUAGGAUUUCGGAAAGAAAUUUUCCCCGACCAGUUACGUCGAGGUACAACACGAUAGAACGAUAACCCGAGAAAAAAGCAAUGAAUUUUACCAGUCUAUAGAGACUACAAUUUAAACACCAACUAACGAAUAUAGGUUUUAUUGAUACAAUCAUGUGACUUCUGUUAAAGAUAUAACAAUCACUUCAACCGAUUUAUCAAAAACGCGGUGAUUCUAUAUAUACACGUGACGUAAGAUUGGGACAUUUAACAAUACGAUAAUCAAAUUAGGCCUUAUAUUAAUACAAUCAUGUGAGAUGUUAUAUUAAUACAAUAUAAGACGAAAACAGUCAAACGACCAGGUAUAAUUAAAGGAGCUCGAAUAAAAGUGUAGAGCAGUAUAAAUGUGGAGAGGCGGCUGACGGUGGAUAGUACCUCCCUCUACCGAACCGGUCCGGCAGUUGUGGGUAGUCCUUGAAGGCCAUCCGCGGCAGGACAAGAAGGAGGGGAAUGAGACUACGGAAGUACCGGUUUUAGUAAUCGUCCUCGUUCUUCCAAUUCGUGGUUAAUACCAAUUUCGAAACAGAGAAAACCCAUGAUACACAAACGACCAAUCGAAUGUUUAAGUUCAUUAUGCUGAUAACGUUACGUAGAAUGAUGUACACAUAAAUAAACGUAACUAUAAAAGAGGAGGAAUCCGAGGUUUGGCAAACACCCAGUAUUUAAUAACACGUAAUAACUACUAAUUAAACGUUAAAUUUACUGUUGUCCCGACCCAAAAUAUUCACGUUACCAAACUUUACACUGGAAGGUCAGUUCUUUAAAGGAGUCACUCUUCGAAUACACUUCUUACUACAUUAAUUCAAUCGUUAAAUGUCAAGAGAAACUGUUAACAUUGACUUAACAGUUACCGGUCAAGAGAACUUAUUACUCAAUGAGGGAGUUAAAAUGUUAUCUCUAUUAAACAGUUUUAAAACAAAAACACUACAAACACCAGAAGAGAAAAGAAAAGAACUAAACAUAACCUAUACGAUGAGCGUAUAAACUUGUACGUAUCCCGGAGAGUCAGAAAUUGGGACUGAUAUUUUUAGGUAACUACCUUCGACCCUUCCCGGCUCUACUUGUAAGUCGAGGGACCCAGAUUCGGUAGCUCUACCAUCUAUGCUGCAAAGGUACAGUAGAUGAGGUCGUCGGCCUGUUCCGUAUAUUUUUGAUACCUAGCAAACGAGGGUUCCGGCGUUUUACUAGUAUCACUACAGAUGCUGGAGGAGGAUCUACAUAAUUAGAGUUAGAGUACAAACCAAAAGAAGGGAAAAGAGAAGAUUACUACAUUAAAGAAAAUGAUUCUAUUGUGGUACAAACAACAUUACGGAAUAAACUACAUUCUAGGGAAAAGAUAAAACUUACUUAAA